AAUCCGUGUUGUGGACACUUCCGCAAGAGAUCCUUGAAUCUCUCCCAUAUCUCAAACAAGGACUCAAGCUCUAUAUGAACAAACGGCAAAAUCUCAUUACGAAGCUU